rnacentral:rRNA from 1 species
CAGGCUUAACACAUGCAAGUCGAGGGGCAGCAUGGUCUUAGCUUGCUAAGGCCGAUGGCGACCGGCGCACGGGUGAGUAACGCGUAUCCAACCUGCCUUACACUCUUGGACAGCCUUCUGAAAGGGAGAUUAAUACAAGAUGUUAUCAUGAGUAAGCAUUUUCGCAUGAUUAAAGGUUUACCGGUGUAAGAUGGGGAUGCGUUCCAUUAGAUAGUAGGCGGGGUAACGGCCCACCUAGUCUUCGAUGGAUAGGGGUUCUGAGAGGAAGGUCCCCCACAUUGGAACUGAGACACGGUCCAAACUCCUACGGGAGGCAGCAGUGAGGAAUAUUGGUCAAUGGACGAGAGUCUGAACCAGCCAAGUAGCGCGAAGGAUGAAGGUUCUAUGGAUUGUAAACUUCUUUUAUACGGGAAUAAACGAAUCCACGUGUGGAUUUUUGCAUGUACCGUAUGAAUAAGGAUCGGCUAACUCCGUGCCAGCAGCCGCGGUAAUACGGAGGAUCCGAGCGUUAUCCGGAUUUAUUGGGUUUAAAGGGAGCGUAGAUGGGUUGUUAAGUCAGUUGUGAAAGUUUGCGGCUCAACCGUAAAAUUGCAAUUGAUACUGGCAGUCUUGAGUACAGUUGAGGUAGGCGGAAUUCGUGGUGUAGCGGUGAAAUGCUUAGAUAUCACGAAGAACUCCGAUUGCGAAGGCAGCUUACUAACCUGUAACUGACAUUGAUGCUCGAAAGUGUGGGUAUCAAACAGGAUUAGAUACCCUGGUAGUCCACACGGUAAACGAUGAAUACUCGCUGUAGGCGAUAUACAGUCUGCGGCCAAGCGAAAGCAUUAAGUAUUCCACCUGGGGAGUACGCCGGCAACGGUGAAACUCAAAGGAAUUGACGGGGGCCCGCACAAGCGGAGGAACAUGUGGUUUAAUUCGAUGAUACGCGAGGAACCUUACCCGGGCUUAAAUUGCAACCGAAUAUGGCGGAAACGCUAUAGCUAGCAAUAGCGGUUGUGAAGGUGCUGCAUGGUUGUCGUCAGCUCGUGCCGUGAGGUGUCGGCUUAAGUGCCAUAACGAGCGCAACCCUUGCCGAUAGUUACUAACAGGUCAUGCUGAGGACUCUGUCGGGACUGCCAUCGUAAGAUGUGAGGAAGGUGGGGAUGACGUCAAAUCAGCACGGCCCUUACGUCCGGGGCUACACACGUGUUACAAUGGGGGGUACAGAGGGCUGCUACCACGCAAGUGGAUGCCAAUCCCAAAAACCUCUCUCAGUUCGGAUUGAAGUCUGCAACCCGACUUCAUGAAGCUGGAUUCGCUAGUAAUCGCGCAUCAGCCACGGCGCGGUGAAUACGUUCCCGGGCCUUGUACACACCGCCCGUCAAGCCAUGGGAGCCGGGGGUACCUGAAGUGCGUAACCGCAAGGAGCGCCCUAGGGUAAAACUGGUGACUGGGGCUAAG